rnacentral:rRNA from 1 species
GAUGAACGCUGGCGGCGUGCCUAAUACAUGCAAGUCGAGCGAAUGGAUUAAGAGCUUGCUCUUAUGAAGUUAGCGGCGGACGGGUGAGUAACACGUGGGUAACCUGCCCAUAAGACUGGGAUAACUCCGGGAAACCGGGGCUAAUACCGGAUAACAUUUUGAACCGCAUGGUUCGAAAUUGAAAGGCGGCUUCGGCUGUCACUUAUGGAUGGACCCGCGUCGCAUUAGCUAGUUGGUGAGGUAACGGAUCACCAAGGCAAAGAUCCGUAGACGACCUGAGAGGGUGAUCGGCAACACGGGGACUGAGACACGGCCCAGACUCCUACGGGAGGCAGCAGUAGGGAAUCUUCCGCAAUGGACGAAAGUCUGACGGAGCAACGCCGCGUGAGUGAUGAAGGCUUUCGGGUCGUAAAACUCUGUUGUUAGGGAAGAACAAGUGCUAGUUGAAUAAGCUGACACCUUGACGGUACCUAACCAGAAAGCCACGGCUAACUACGUGCCAGCCGCCGCCGCGG